rnacentral:rRNA from 1 species
UACGGAGGGUGCAAGCGUUAUCCGGAAUCACUGGGUUUAAAGGGUGCGUAGGCGGCUGUAUAAGUCAGAGGUGAAAGCCCGGAGCUUAACUUCGGAACUGCCUUUGAUACUGUAUAGCUUGAAAUAGGUUGAGGUCAGCGGAAUGUGGCAUGUAGCGGUGAAAUGCAUAGAGAUGCCAUAGAACACCAAUUGCGAAGGCAGCUGGCUGGACCUUAUUUGACGAUGAGGCACGAAAGCGUGGGGAGCGAGCAGG